rnacentral:rRNA from 1 species
UACGAAGGUGGCAAGCGUUACUCGGAAUUACUAGGCGUAAAGGGCAGGUAGGUGGUUUGGUAAGUCUGUUGUGUAAGCUCCCGGCUUAACUGGGAGAGGUCAACAGAAACUACCAGGCUUGAGUAUAGGAGAGGGUACUGGAAUUCCCGGUGUAGCGGUGAAAUGCGCAGAGAUCGGGAGGAACACCAAUGGCGAAAGCAGGUACCUGGACUAUUACUGACACUAAGCUGCGAAAGCUAGGGGAGCAAACAGG